rnacentral:lncRNA from 1 species
UCCUUACUUACGGAAUAUUUCACAAAGGUAGAUAAACUCAAGAAUCUAAUUGUGCACAGUUCAUCCAACAAUGCUAAACACCAUCACGACCAUCAGGUCAAUGACUAGACCCUCUUCUGGGCCUGCUCUUGGAACCCUCCUCUCCUAUGUCCUUUCUCUCUCCAGAAAAAAGUCACACUCUGGUUUCUGAAUUCAAGAAUUCCCUCACUUUCUUUUAGCGUCUGCUGUCCUUGUGUGCAUUCCCAAACAAUAUUUUAUUUAUUUGGUUGGUUCGUUGGUUGGUUGGUUUGAAGGAAGUUUGCAUGCAGGGCCUUGCAUAUGCUAGGCAAAUGCUAUACCACUGAGCUACAUCCUUAGCCCAUUGAGCUACAUCCUUAAUAAUAUUUCAGCCUUACCUGCCUGGUACUGGAUACAGUUGAGACUCGUGUCUGUUGGCGUUGCCGUGAGGAAGACCUGUCAUGUUGAUGUGUCACGUGCUCCAUGUUCCCACUGCUCUGCCAUGCUCUGUCUGUGAUCACACCACAGUGUGUCAUUCCGCCUUUGUCAGAGACUUUGGUCAUUUCGUGUAUGUCUCCUACAGUGUACAUGCCCUUUAAUGUGUUUCCUGCUCCUGGAAAGAAGCACAACUUCUGUCCGAGGACUUGCACACCUCUGACUUUAUUAGACAAUCUUCAGCCGAUUUUCCAAAAAUAACUACGUGGCCCUUUGUGGACACAUCAGCAGCAAAUGAGAAUUCUCAACAACCCAACAUCGGACCAACAGGUCUUUACUUCAAAGCUGUUGAAAGUGUUGGUCCUACUUCUAGAAUAUUUCUUUUACCUGGAUCACAAGGACUCUUCUUCCCAGAAGCUUUCUGGGGCUUCUGUAGUCCGUAUUAUCUGCCACCCUUGGCUGCCAUAGCUCUCCACACCUUCCACAUCACAGUAGACCUCACAGUGCUUAGCUGCAGCCCCUUUCCUUCCACCCUGUCCCCCACUAGCCUCGGAACUCCUGAAGACAGAAUGUAUGGAUAGGACAGGUGCAGAGUGGGAGUUCGGUCCAUAACUGUGGAACAAACUGGUUACACUCCCUUCCUCCCCCAACCCAUGACUCUCCUCAACCACUGGGAGGCCAGGUGACUAUUAAGGCUUUUCAUAGAAUUGUUGCCAAAACAACAAAUAAUAACUCCAGGGAAAUUAAUUGUCAGAUCUGCUCUUUCAUUAGUGGCUCAUCAAAGGACUGUGAGCCCCCAGGGGGACUCUUAAAACUAAGUAACCGAUCAGCAUGGGAGGAGGCAUCUUCUACCCGGAAGCCCCCUCCACCAGCACAACAUGCAAACAGACACACCUCCUGUGAAUUGCCGGGCCUGGCCAUUUAACACAGUUAUUACCAACUCCCCCUUAGUGAAUUACAGGCAAGAGCCUCGGGAGAGCUUUCAGAGUUCUUCAAAUGGAUGUUUAAAAGCCUGCGGUUGCUCAGACUGGCUUAGCUAAUGGCAUUUAUUACUUGGAGAUCAGGGUAUUUACAUAAAGCUGGAUUUUUUAUUAGAGUGGUCAGGUGGUUCCUGAAAGGGAGGGCGGGAGGAGAAGAUGGAGGAGCACGAAAUUCUGCUUCAGCUUCAGCAGAUGCGGUCCAGCUCUGAUCCCACGGGAAGGCUGGUCCUCUCGCAUGCCAGUACAGAAACAGUCUAGGGAUUGAGUGUGGUGUCCCUAGGUGGGAGGACCCAGCACGGAACAUGUCUGCAUUUCUCUGGAGUAUGGAAUCAGAACCAUGGACAGCUCACAGCGCAGGCAUUGACUCUCUUGGUAGGCAUUGCUCUUUCUUUAGUAAAACAACAAACAAACACCAUUAAUGUUAGCUCUUUGAUGAUUUCACGCAUAAUAUAUUCUGGUUACUCUUUUCUUAAUCUUCCUCCCACCGCCAUCAAUUCUUACUGCUCACCACCAGUCCCUUGCCCAGAUGAAGACUUUCAGUUUUGUUUUGUGACCCAUUUAGAACAAUCAGAGCCAUCUCUGUGACCACUGGAUCUGUACUCUCCAUUUAUUCCUUCACUCUCCUUCACGAGGUCGCACAACAAGCCAUGCCUCUUCAUCUCCCUGGAUCUAUCAGUAGGCAAUAGUCCAGCAGGGUGGGCAAGGGCCCCCUAAACUCCCCUUCCAUCCCUUUCAUUCAUGCUUUGCUGCUGAGGGGCCCACUCUUGUGAGACCCAGGGCAGGUCGCCCACAGUUGCUGCGAGUUCACGGCUGCAGUGUCUGUGGAGUUCCCAGAUGUCAGGUUUUUAAUUGAAGGUUUAGGGGAGGAUCCUCGCUUCUUUCAGCUGUAGCCUAGAUCAUUGGAGACAGCGAGCCACUGGCUUUGCCAGCAGUUGGGGGAGGAGAGUUUGGUAUACUCCUGAACUUGCAAGGCAAGAUGAAGGUAAACUCAGGCCACUGGAUACUGGUUCCAGGAGCUUCUGUUAACUGUCCAUUGCUAUGUGGGGCUUAAGAGAUGGCUCAGAGAUUAGGAGAAUAUAAUAUUCUUGCAGAGGACUGGAACUCAGAUCCCAGAUUCGGUAGAUUACAAACAGCUAUAACUUCAGCUUCAGUGGAUCUGAUACCUUAUUCCAUGGGCACAUAUAUUCACAAGCAGAUAUUCACACACACACACACACACACACACACACACACACACACACAGCACCUUGUUAUGUAUUCCUCAUGAGUCUCUAUUCUCGGGAGACUGCUCUCCUGGACUUGCAUGGAUAACCCAUCCAAUUGCAAUCAGCUGCCAGGUCACUUGGGGCCAGAAGGUCAGACUACAAGUAUGGAUUUAAUGAAGGAAGUGAAGAAAGCAAGGGGCCUAGAAGAGGAGCAGGUGUUUGGUAGGUAGGCAGCACUGAGAAGAACAUUCUAGAAACAAUGAGAACAAAACAAAUGACACAGAAAAAGGGCUGUCGGGAGCCAUGGGAAUUGGAAAGUGGUUCAGAUGACUCUGGCAGAAGUAAGCAGGGUAUGGGAUACCUGGUUGAACCCACAGAAUGAAGGGGCUGGAGUGAUCAAUAUUUAAGUAAUUGCCACCUCUGGGGUUCACGUGAUGCUGAGCUGAGCAGGUGGAGUGUUGUGCUUUGUUCCUCUCUCAGGGUCCCCAUCCUACAGAUGAAAACUCUAAGGCUGCAACCCCAUUCUACACAUAAAAACACUGAGGCUUUUCAGCAACAGGGAUGUGAUUCAGAACCCAGGAGUUCUGACUUCAGAGCUGGCAGUUUUGAUUACAAUAGCCCAUAACCUUUCAGAGUGGGUAUAAAUACACGUACCCGAUAGCACACACAAUAUAUAGACACCACAAACAUCCUCCCAGAGCUGCAAGAGACGGCACACACUUGUAGCUACAGCACUCUAGAGGUGUAGUGUUGUGUGACUUUUCCUGGGGAGAGGGCACCAACAACAGUUUAAAUAAAUUAUCACAUUAAAUGUAGCUUAGUGGACCAAUGAGUUUGGGGGAAGGGUUACUUAUGGGAGUAUGUGGUGGGUUAGGGGUUACCUACAGGACCAUGGACGUCUCAAAGGCAGCUGCAUCCCUGACAAGCCCACCUCAGGAAGAUGAUAAAUUAAAAAGCCACACUAGCACAGGAGAUUAUUCAUGGAGUCUGCAUCCCUAGAGGUUCCUACUCAAUCUGCCGACAUCAAGACUGGCCAGAGAGGUCAAGAGCUGGCAGUGGUUCCUAGCCUUGCUCACUCUGUCCAUCCUACACCAAACACACCUUGCACUUCUCUGAUGAGCCUGGCACUGCCCUCAAUGGUGAAUGAGCCCAUAAUGAAAGAGCUUCCAGCAAAGACACCCACAGUCUCCCUCCAUCUUCCCUCAGAGGGAGAGCUGAAGUUUCCCAAGCCAGCCAGUUUUUCUCUGCUGUUGCUUUCUCUGAUGCAGGAGCUCACAACCUUGAACUGGACCCAAGUGUCUCAGAGCCCUUCUGCAUGAAAGCGCAUCCUCUGCCCUCCUAGGGUAUCACUCCCCAGAGGCUGGGUGUUGGUCACUCAGUGGGGAUAAUGCCAGUAUCUAACAUCAUGUGUCAAAGCAAGACCCAAGCCCUUCCUGCAGGCUCUAGUUGGCCUUCCUAGUGUUCUAGAGUUCUCGAAGUGUAUUUGCAGACGGGAGACUACUACAAAAGCAUCCCGGAGCACAAGCAGUUAAAAGGAAGAGACCGUUGAAAUGCGUCUUCUUUUAUCUGUCUGCUUCUCCAACACAAACUGACAGACCAGCAGGCUUAAUUCAAAUGAAAUGCACGUAGUUGGCUCUAUAAAAGAUGACUUUAUCUCAGCGAGGAAGAGCGAUUAGGAGAAAUAAAUGUGUGUGUGAUUGAGGACAGGAUGCCCGGUGACGGGAGAUGGAGGAUGCUUCAGCCUAGCUAGGCUGGAUUGCUGAUGCUCUGGAGGCAUCCCCUUCACCCCUCAGAGGUAGAUGGCCACAGAGUCAACCCUACUGCAGCUGCACCUGGCAGCUGCCCCUUGACACAGGGAACAGCCAGUCUGGGCUACUCUGGCCACCCUGGUGUCCUGAUGUAAUUGGUGCAAAGGAAGCAGAAAGAGUAGAUGGUACAUGGACCCAGCCUGCUUGGGUUUGGAUUCCAGCUGUCCCCUAACAGCUGUGUGGCCUUAGGAAAGUUGCUUAGCCUAACCUUGCUGUCUCUGCUGGGAAAUGGAGUUAAUAAUAACAGCGUGGGCCUCAUUGCUCUACUUUACUACAUAGAGUAAGUACUUGACACACAUGAAGUAGUGAUGGUUGACUGGACAGGUGGCUCAGUUGCCUGCAGCCCUGGGUUUGAUCUCCAGGACUGUUUAAACCCACUGUGGUGGCAGAUACCUAUAACUGCAGCAUUGGAGAGGCGAAUGAAGAGGGAUUGGAAGUACAAGGA